ACCUCCCUCGCCCUUGCCUCGACCCGUAAAUAGCUCGCGCAGGACCUCAGACGAGUCAGUGCAAUCUGGGAAACCUAAGCAUCACAAUGAGGCAAAUCAUCUUCGUUCUCUUCGUCUUGGCCUUAAUUGUGCUGAUGGCGGAAUCGCGACUUUUCAGUCCCGAGGAAGUCUUGACAAGGCUACGCAGAGGGUGCCAGUGCACGAGGCGUCCCUGCCCUUGCGAUAUCGCUGACCCGUACCCGUUCACGGUGACUCGCCUGGCCUGAAGUCAUGACGUCAGCAGGGACACGAAUCGAGCCAGCGGAUCAGUAGGUUUUCACCACGACUGAAGCAGGAGCGUGAGGACAAACAACAACAA